AUUGAACGCUGGCAGCAUGCCUUACACAUGCAAGUCGAACGGUAACAGGUCUUCGGAUGCUGACGAGUGGCGAACGGGUGAGUAAUACAUCGGAACGUGCCUAGUAGUGGGGGAUAACUACUCGAAAGAGUGGCUAAUACCGCAUGAGAUCUACGGAUGAAAGCAGGGGAUCGCAAGACCUUGUGCUACUAGAGCGGCCGAUGGCAGAUUAGGUAGUUGGUGGGAUAAAAGCUUACCAAGCCGACGAUCUGUAGCUGGUCUGAGAGGACGAUCCGCCACACUGGGACUGAGACACAGCCCAGACUCCUACUGGAGGCAGCAGUGGGGAAUUUUGGACAAUGGGCGCAAGCCUGAUCCAGCAAUGCCGCGUGCAGGAUGAAGGCCUUCGGGUUGUAAACUGCUUUUGUACGGAACGAAAAGCCCUGGGUUAAUACCCUGGGGUCAUGACGGUACCUGAAGAAGAAGCACCGGCUAACUACGUGCCAGCCGCCGCUGUAAUAC
rnacentral:rRNA from 1 species